rnacentral:rRNA from 1 species
AUGAAACAGGGGACCGAGCAGCAGGAGGAAGGAAGCAGCGGCACUGGAGGGUCCUGGCCGGUGGAGGACGACGUGGAGAAGGCAUCGGGGAUGGACGUCUCUGGCCGAAGCCAAAGCCAUGAUGGGGCGACCUGGGAAGAGGCGGAGAAGCAGUCGCGCGGGUCGAGCGAAGGGGCGCCGGCUGGCGUUGGACUUGGCGGCUUGCAGGUCUGGAAGAGAUGGCGCAUGUGA